GGAUAAUGGCUCAAGCUGUUCGGCCUAUGUUGGUUCACAGCGUUUUAACAAGCUCGGGGAAUAUGCGUCAAUUACUCAAGAAGAAGCUGAUGUGCCAAAUGUUCAGCCAUAGUGCAUACCCAUCCAGGGUAUCAUACUGUGUCAGCCUCGUAAUGAAAAGGGCAUGCUCUACACAAGCUGCUGCUCCAGAGAAAGUUAAAAAUGCUACUAAAGCAUUUGAAAACCAAGAGGAAAAGUGUGAUGAACAGCAACAUUGUGAUGAACAUGAUGGCUAUGACAGUCCAGCCAAAGAAGAUGGAAAAAAGGCAAAGCGGACUUAUAAGAAGAAAACAAAAAAAGAAAUUCUAGCUGAUCAUGUCUCCCAAGAGCCAAGGGCUGUGCAAGAUAUAUUGCAUCAGUAUAGUGAUCAACUGAAUUGCCGGAAGCAGGACCCAGGGAUGAUGUACAUCAUCAACAAUGCCAUAGCUGACCGGCUCGUGCAGAGCCUGGACCCGGGCGAGCACCAUGUGCCGCACCUGGAGCUGGGCCCGGGCCCGGGCGUGCUGACCCGCCGCCUGCUGAGCGCCGGCGUGCGUCACAUCACGUGCUUCGAGCC
rnacentral:lncRNA from 1 species